CCUACGGUGGGGCAGCAGUGGGGGAUAUUGGACAAUGGGGGGAACCCUGAUCCAGCGACGCCGCGUGAGUGAAGAAGUAUCUCGGUAUGUAAAGCUCUAUCAGCAGGGAAGAAGAAAUGACGGUACCUGAGUAAGAAGCCCCGGCUAACUACGUGCCAGCAGCCGCGGUAAUACGUAGGGGGCAAGCGUUAUCCGGAAUUACUGGGUGUAAAGGGAGCGUAGACGGUGAUGUAAGUCUGGAGUGAAAGGCGGGGGCCCAACCCCCGGACUGCUCUGGAAACUAUGUGACUGGAGUGCAGGAGAGGUGAGCGGAAUUCCUAGUGUAGCGGUGAAAUGCGUAGAUAUUAGGAGGAACACCAGUGGCGAAGGCGGCUCACUGGACUGUAACUGACGUUGAGGCUCGAAAGCGUGGGGAGCAAACAGGAUUAGAUACCCUAGUAGUC
rnacentral:rRNA from 1 species